GACAUAGGUCGCAAACGUUAUCCGGAAUUAUUGGGCGUAAAGGAUGCGUAGAUGGUUCAGUAAGUUACUGGUGGGAAAUCGAGGCCCAACCUCGUGGAAGUUAGUAAUACUGUUGAACUUGAGUGCGGGAGAGGUUAACGGAACUUCAUGUGGAGCGGUAAAAUGCGUAGAUAUAUGAAAGAACAUCAAUAUGGCGAAGGCAGUUAACUAUUCUGCUACUGACAUUGAGGCAUGAAAGCGUGGGGAGCAAAACGG
rnacentral:rRNA from 1 species